UACAAACGCUGGCGGCGUGCUUAACACAUGCAAGUCGAACGGUUCCCCUUCGGGGGAAUAGUGGCGGACGGGUGAGUAACACGUAGUUGACCUGCCCUUCGGUGGGGAAUAACUUCUCGAAAGAGAAGCUAAUACCGCACUACGUUCUGUAUCGUUGGGUGCAGAAGAAAGCUUCUUCGUAAGGAGAGGCGCCGAAGGAGGGGAUUGCGGCGGAUUAGCUAGUUGGUGUGGUAAAGGCGCACCAAGGCCGCGAUCCGUAGCUGGUCUGAGAGGACGGCCAGCCACACUGGGACUGAGACACGGCCCAGACUCCUACGGGAGGCAGCAGUGAGGAAUAUUCCACAAUGGGCGAAAGCCUGAUGGAGCGACGCCGCGUGCGGGAAGAAGCCUUUCGGGGUGUAAACCGCUUUUCUUUCGGAUGAUACACCCGGCGGUGAGUCGGGUUAGGACAGUACGAAAGGAAUAAGCCUCGGCUAACUACGUGCCAGCAGCCGCGGUAAUACGUAGGAGGCGAGCGUGUCCGGAUUUACG
rnacentral:rRNA from 1 species